rnacentral:rRNA from 1 species
UGGGGAAUAUUGCACAAUGGGCGAAAGCCUGAUGCAGCAACGCCGCGUGAGCGAAGAAGGCCUUUGGGUCGUAAAGCUCUGUCGGAAGGGAAGAAACAAAUGACGGUACCUUCUGAGGAAGCCCCGGCUAACUACGUGCCAGCAGCCGCGGUAAUACGUAGGGGGCAAGCGUUAUCCGGAAUUAUUGGGCGUAAAGAGUGCGUAGGUGGUCUUGUAAGCGUGGGGUGAAAGGCAGUGGCUUAACCAUUGUAAGCCUUGCGAACUGUAAGACUUGAGUGCAGGAGAGGAAAGCGGAAUUCCUAGUGUAGCGGUGAAAUGCGUAGAUAUUAGGAGGAACACCAGUGGCGAAGGCGGCUUUCUGGACUGUAACUGACACUGAGGCACGAAAGCGUGGGGAGCA